ensembl:lncRNA
GAGAGAGAGAGGCAGAGACACAGGCAGAGGGAGAAGCAGGCUCCGCGCAGCGAGCCCGACGCGGGACUCGAUCCCCGGUCCCCAGGUCACGCCCUGGGCAGAAGGGGGCGCUAAACCGCUGCGCCAGCCCGGCUGCCCAUGAUUGAAAUUGCCGAUGGGAAAUUUUGAAGGAUAGAAGUUAAAAACGAGUGAAUGGGUGCUCAACUUUCCAUCUUUCGGGAGUAAAUGUAAGAAGUCUGGAGGCGGCUACCACAAGGUAGGGGAGCGGCGGGGAGCGCGGAGCAGCGGGCGCGGAGGCCGGGGCGCGAGGGGCGGGGCCGGCAGGCCGGCGGGUCCCCGGGGUGCACCAUAGAGGGCGCUGGAUGACCGAGGGACAGAGAGGCGCACGCCGCCCACGCCAGUGGCUCCGGGAACCCGCGCCGGCGAGCAAGAUGGCGGCCGUUUGACUGCGAGGCGAGGCGCGGCGCCGCGGGGUGCUGCCGGGGUGGCGACGGCGGGUUGGCUUGGAGCAACGGCCGCCGCCGGGACAGGCUCCCCGCGAGAUGGGACGUGAAGGGCUCCCGCCCGCCCCGCCGUCCUGCAGCUGCUGGAAUGACCUAGCAAUUGGCUAGGUAUACCCUGAACUAUAUAAGAUGUAUGGUGGGCCAGAAGCAGGCCUUCUUCCUGCAGACUUGGAAGGAGCUGAUGACAAAGGUCUGCCAGCAGAGCUCUGACUAUGUUCUUCAGUCUCAAAAAACAUAGAACAGCUACAGAAAAGGUACCACUGCCAUAAAUUUUGCCUACCCCAGGAAAUCUCCAGUUCAACUCUUGAGUUGCUCCGAUGAUCCACCCACCCUGGACCCAUACCCCUGUCUCCAGGCACUGAAUUUUAAGAGGAAAUUCCUGGAGACCCUAAAACCUUCAAGACACAAAGAAUGCAAGAUAGAGAAAAAUAGUGACAGUCAGUUCUUUUGGAGUAAAAUGUCACUGCCUCAAACAUACUUCAUAGGUAUUCAUCACAUACCAAUUCUGAAAUUAGCCUGCUUGUUAUGGUGUUAUGACAGCAAACAGUAUGCAAAGGUUGGGUGAGUUGAAGAAAAUACUCUUUUCUCUUUGUGUAACUCAUGUACAUAUUUUUUGAUAUUACUCUAAUAUCUCUAUAAAAUAAGAGUUUCAUUAGGAACACAUAAAUGUUAACCUUUUUAUUUGAUAGUUACAUCAUUUAUAGGUAAGGCAAUCCAAUCCUGUACCUUACCUAUAUUUAUGUAAAGUAUAUAAUUCAUUGAGUAUUGCACAGCUACAUUCCUGAGAGAUGGAAUCAUCAAGUUUGUUGUUAUUGUGGCAUUAGAAGGAGUUUUGACUUUGAAGAACCAGAAGUAAAUCUAGGACUGAAAUCCAGGCUUUUUUCACAUUACUCUGAUACUUGAGAUUUAAUCUCUUUGUGCUCUAGUCAAGUAGGACAAUACAAUGGAAUAAUGCUAUCUUUCCUAUUUUAUAGGAGUGAAGUAGGUUUUCAUUUAUUUGCCAUUAUUUUUUUGGCUGAUAAUAAUUUGCAACAACCAGAUCAUCUAUAUUUUUAGUCCUAGUCAUGUUUGUUAGGAUUGUAGAGGCAGAGAUGUAAUAAUAAUGACAAAUGAUAGCUCUUUCUCAGAGUUAUAUUUUUCAAAAGCAGCUAUUUCUGGAAGAAAUGUAGAUGAUUCAUCCAUACUGUGGAAUAUGUAUUUUUUUCCUAAAAAUAGGAGUAUAUAUUUCUGAGUAUGUAAUCAGUAAAUUCUGAUUAAAAUCAGAUUAGCACUUUCUUUUUUAAUCAUUUAUUUCAGCUACUGUUUCUGGGGCAUUUAUUGUCCAAUUAUUAUUUUUCCAUAUGUGUGCUGAAUUUUAUGGGGGAAAUAAAAAAAAUUAAGAAACAUGCUACUUAUGUUGA